rnacentral:rRNA from 1 species
AUGAACGCUGGCGGCGUGCCUAAUACAUGCAAGUCGAGCGCACAGAUGAGGAGCUUGCUCCUCUGACGUUAGCGGCGGACGGGUGGGUAACACGUGGAUAACCUACCUAUAAGACUGGGAUAACUUCGGGAAACCGGAGCUAAUACCGGAUAAUAUAUUGAACCGCAUGGUUCAAUAGUGAAAGACGGUUUUGCUGUCACUUAUAGAUGGAUCCGCGCCGCAUUAGCUAGUUGGUAAGGUAACGGCUUACCAAGGCAACGAUGCGUAGCCGACCUGAGAGGGUGAUCGGCCACACUGGAACUGAGACACGGUCCAGACUCCUACGGGAGGCAGCAGUAGGGAAUCUUCCGCAAUGGGCGAAAGCCUGACGGAGCAACGCCGCGUGAGUGAUGAAGGUCUUCGGAUCGUAAAACUCUGUUAUUAGGGAAGAACAAAUGUGUAAGUAACUAUGCACGUCUUGACGGUACCUAAUCAGAAAGCCACGGCUAACUACGUG